CGUACCUUGGUUAUUGACUAGUUAAGGAGAGAUUGGCUAUUAGAGGGUCUCAGUAGCUAUAACCAGUCUAUUCAUAAGUAAUAAUAAUCUAUAUUUGAAUCAAUGAUCAGUAGUCGAAUCAAGCUGAAUUAAUUCCUUCAACCAGAGCUUUCUCCAAUUUGAAUUACAACUUUAAUUUGCAUUCUUGUUAUUUUAAUUUGAUUUUUAUUAUUGUCAACAAUUCCCCCAUUUUACGUUUUACGUUUCAAAAGAAUUUAAAU
rnacentral:lncRNA from 1 species